UUCCGAGUACCUCUCGACACCCUCCAAACUCUCUCUCGACAAAAUGAAACGAAACCCUAAAUCUCAUUCCUCUCUCACAAACCCUAAAGCGGUCGAUUUGGAUCUCUCUCACCAUCCUCUCUCUCUCUCUCUCUCAGCGAAACCCCUCUCUCAUGAAAGCUCUCUCAGUCUCUCGAUCUGCAACCAUGGCCUUUGUCUCAAUCCAUCGCAUAAAACCAUGGCCUUCUUCGUUUCAGUCGUCAAGCACUAAAUCCCCAAACUCUCCUCCGCUGAGAGAACCACAGAAAUUCCAAUCCUUCGCUGUCCAGUUUGCGCCGGAAUCGAGGAUGGUUAUGGAAGGGGGCCGAUUUGGACAAUGCGAUGGUGCCGAUGGUGAAAAGGAAAUUACAGUUUCGAAAAGGAGAUUGCAGACUAAAACCUUAAAGAUUUGAACCAAUCAACUUGUUCUGCAUAAGAUGACAGUUCAGAGGACUUUGCUGAUGGUGAAUUGAAGGAAAUCCGCUUUUCUACAUUAGAUCCGCUUCAAUUGAGUCUGCUAGAAAAUCCGCUUUAUCUCAUUUCUGAACCUUCAGAUUCUAUUCGGAGCCAGCGACCUUCCUAUCCAUAACCAUGACUAAGAGAAAGAAGAAGGCUGGAAUGGCCGGGAAAUAUGGUAAGUUCUAUUAAAUUUAGAGAGACCUAAAUGCUUUUUCUGUUCUAUGUAUUUCGAUGGCUUGUAUUGCUUUUGUGAGUUUGUAUUUAUAGAGACCUAAAUGGAGUUGGAUUCCUAGUCAUUUUCUUGUUGUUUGCCAGAAAUUUGAUGAAGAAGCAUGAUGGUAUGCACAGUCUAGAUUUCUGAAUAUGAGAUGAAUCCUUUUUUUUUUUAAUUAGUUCCUGGUACCAAAUUCUAAUAUGUCAUUGGUUGGAAUAUGCUGGUUCUAUGCAGAUUAUUGAUAGAAGAUGGGUUCUCACUUCUCAAAGGGGCAUCCUUCUUUAAAGAUUGCCGGUAAGCUGAUGGUAUCUUGAAAAACCCAAGAACGGGAACAACUGUAUAUGUCAUUGAAGAUAUGCAUGUUCCGCUAUCUCAAUGGUGAAACAGAAAGCGACUAACUUCUGGAGAUUAUGGAGCUUGACUUGUCGAAGAAGAAUAGCAGAAAUGCAAAGGUCUACUACAAGAGCAGAUGGUGUCAGAAGUCCUCUGCUGGAGAUGGUUCUGUAUGAGCUAACUUACGAUAAGGAUAUUCUUUCCACAUUUCUUCAGGUUCAUAUGUCUUUCCAUUUUCCAAUUCUGGUUUGUUCUGUCUCCGUAUUCGUAUAUAGUCUGCAGCAUAUGUUCCGGACAGUAUGUUUAACUACAAAUCGAACAUGUUUGAUAUGCACAAUCAUUUUGUCAAAUUAAAUUAACUUGGCUCUUUGAUGCAGCAAAUACAUCUAGUUGAUGGAGACAACUGCUGUAUCUUCAAUCAGCAACUGAAACUACUGCUGUAUCCUCUUGCACUCCAUUUUUUUGUUUGCUAGUUUGGAAGAAUGUGAUAGCUGUCAUUAUUUUCUUUGAAAUUGAGAACUCCCCUUGUUUUCUUACUAGAGUUUUAUACAAGUUGAAUUUGUUAAGUUUGGAUAUUGAUUUUGGUGGUUUAGUUUUCAGCAAUUGGUUGGUUAAGAUUGUUCUAUAUUGCUUUUGCCUUGUUAUAUUUUUCUUUAUGGCUGGUUAGCUUUGUUGCAUGUGCUGGUACCAUAGCUUUUCUUUUGGUUGAUUGCACUCCAGGUUUCUUUUCUUCUUUGAAGAUUGGACUUUCAUUGUGGACAUUUUAUUUAUUACAAAGGUAGACCAUAUUAUUAGAGCAGAGAAUAUGAUGGCAGCUCAGGAGAUCAUCAAGCUAUUUGCUGAGCUUAUUUCUAUUCGCAGAUUGAAGUCUGCUGUUCUUCUGUUGAUUACUUCUUCUAAAUAUAUUGCAAAGAAACUAGGGCCUUCUGUGCAAUGAAGGAAGCUGAUCUCCUUCCUGAUGAUCCUAAAUCUGCAAAAAGUAUAAAGCAAUUGGAGCAGGUCCUUCCAGGUUUUAUUGAAGCCAAAGGCAGCUGAAGGAUAAGAGCCAUUGAGAAUAUGAAUGUUUUUGAUUCAUGUAUAGCUAGGAAUGCUCUUGUUUGGUACAUUAUCUAGUUACUUCAAUGUAUAGAUGUUUGAAUAAUGGUACUUGAAUUAUAUGGAUUAUAGUACUGUUUAUAUGGUAAUAUAUUGAGCAUUA